GACGAACGCUGGCGGCGUGCCUAACACAUGCAAGUGGAGCGACGAACCAGGGCUUGCCCUGGGGCGAAGCCGCGAACGGGUGAGUAACACGUGGGUAACCUGCCCCGAUGACCGGGACAACCCGAGGAAACUCGGGCUAAUACCGGAUGUACUCCUCGCACAUAAGUGCAAAGAGUAAAGGAAGCUUCGGCCUCCGCUUCGGGAGGGGCCCGCGGCCCAUUAGCUAGUUGGUGAGGUAACGGCCCACCAAGGCAACGAUGGGUAGCUGGUCUGAGGGGACGAUCAGCCACCCUGGGACUGAGACACGGCCCAGACUCCUACGGGAGGCAGAAGUGGGGAAUCUUGCGCAAUGCGCGAAGGCGUGACGCAGCAACGCCGCGUGGGGGAAGAAGGCCUUCGGGUUGUAAACCCCUUUCAGGAGGGACGAAGGUUCGGCGGUGAACAGCCGUCCGGACUGACGGUACCUCCAGAAGAAGCCCCGGCUAACUACGUGCCAGCCGCCGCGGUAAUAC
rnacentral:rRNA from 1 species